rnacentral:rRNA from 1 species
ACCUCCAGUCUAGUUUUUGACCAAAUAAUAAUAAUAAUAUAAUCUGUAAACUCUAAUUAAAACAUUUUAUAAUGGUUUAGUAAAAGCGAUUAAAAAACCUCAACAAAACUAUAAAUAAAGUACCGCAAGGGAAUGAUGAAAUAAAAAUGAAAUAAUGCUAAAGUAACAAAAAGCAGAGACACACCCUCGUACCUUUUGCAUCAUGGUCUAGCUAGUCAAAACAAGCAAAACGUACCUAAAGUUUGUAAUCCCGAAACUAAGUGAGCUACUUUAGAAUAACCUUUAGGGCCAACUCAUCUCUGUAGCAAUAGAGUGAGAAAAUUUUUAAGUAGAAGUGACAAGCCUACCGAACUUAGUAAUAGCUGGUUAUUUGAGAAAAGAAUUUUAGUUCUGCCUUAAGCACAAAAAAUUUCAACAAAAAUAGCUUAAGAGUUAUUCAAAUAAGGUACAGCCUAUUUGAAACAGGAAACAACCUAAGAAUUAGGGUAAUGCUACUAUUAAUAUAAAUAAGUUGGCUUGAAAGCAGCCACCUUUAAAAAAGCGUCAAAGCUUAACUAACUAUACUCAUAAUUUUAAUAUUAACGCUGAACCCAAUAUCAAUACCAAAUAACUUUAUAUUUUUAUAAAUAAUAUUAUGCUAGAACUAGUAAUAAGAAUAUGCACUUCUCCGAAAUACAUUUAUAAUGCAGCUCGAACCAUAACUGCUAAUUACUGUUUAUAAACCAAAAGUAGCAACUCAACUAGAAAACUCUACUUCAUGUAACAUUAACCUUACACAAGAGUAUUCCCGGAAAGAUUUAAAGAAAGGGAAGGAACUCGGCAAAUAUAAGCCUCGCCUGUUUACCAAAAACAUCGCCUCUUGCUAAAACAUAAGAGGUCCCGCCUGCCCCGUGACUUAGUUUAACGGCCGCGGUAUCUUAACCGUGCAAAGGUAGCACAAUAAAUUGUUCUCUAAAUAAGGACUAGAAUGAAUGGCAUCACGAAGGCUCAACUGUCUCCCCCCUCUGAUCAAUGAAACUGAUCUUCUCGUGAAGAAGCGAGAAUAAAUAUAUAAGACGAGAAGACCCCAUGGAGCUUUAAACUCAUAACCAAUUACUUAAAUCCAAAUCACAAAAAAUAGUAAACUUGUUCUACCAUAGUUUUCGGCUGGGGUGACCCUGGAGUAAAAUAAAUCCUCCAGAGUGAACGGAGUAAAAUCCUAAUAGUAGAGCUACAGCUCGAAUAAUCAAAAUAAUUGACACUAAUGAUCCAACCUGUUGAUCAACGAAACAAGUUACCCUGGGGAUAACAGCGCAAUCCAUUUCAAGAGCCCCUAUCGACGAAUGGGUUUACGACCUCGAUGUUGGAUCGGGAUAUCCAGGUGGCGCAGCCGCUACCAACGGUUCGUUUGUUCAACGAUUAACAAUCCC